GGGGUUGUGGCUCAGUGUAAAGCGCUCGCCUAGCAUGUGUGAGGCCCUGGGUUCAAUUCUCAGCACCA
rnacentral:tRNA from 1 species